rnacentral:rRNA from 1 species
GAUGAACGCUGGCGGCGUGCCUAAUACAUGCAAGUAGAACGCUGAAGGAGGAGCUUGCUCUUCUGGAUGAGUUGCGAACGGGUGAGUAACGCGUAGGUAACCUGCCUGGUAGCGGGGGAUAACUAUUGGAAACGAUAGCUAAUACCGCAUGACAACAGUUAUUGCAUGAUAACUGUUUAAAAGGGGCAACUGCUCCACUACCAGAUGGACCUGCGUUGUAUUAGCUAGUUGGUGAGGUAACGGCUCACCAAGGCGACGAUACAUAGCCGACCUGAGAGGGGGGUCGGCCCCACUGGGACUGAGCCCCGGCCCAGACUCCUACGGGAGGCAGCAGUAGGGAAUCUUCGGCAAUGGACGGAAGUCUGACCGAGCAACGCCGCGUGAGUGAAGAAGGUUUUCGGAUCGUAAAGCUCUGUUGUAAGAGAAGAACGAGUGUGAGAGUGGAAAGUUCACACUGUGACGGUAUCUUACCAGAAAGGGACGGCUAACUACGUG